rnacentral:rRNA from 1 species
AUUGAACGCUGGCGGCAUGCCUUACACAUGCAAGUCGAACGGCAGCACGGGAGCAAUCCUGGUGGCGAGUGGCGAACGGGUGAGUAAUAUAUCGGAACGUGCCCAGUCGUGGGGGAUAACGCAGCGAAAGCUGUGCUAAUACCGCAUACGAUCUAAGGAUGAAAGCAGGGGAUCGCAAGACCUCGCGCGAUUGGAGCGGCCGAUAUCAGAUUAGCUAGUUGGUGGGGUAAAGGCCCACCAAGGCGACGAUCUGUAGCUGGUCUGAGAGGACGACCAGCCACACUGGAACUGAGACACGGUCCAGACUCCUACGGGAGGCAGCAGUGGGGAAUUUUGGACAAUGGGCGCAAGCCUGAUCCAGCAAUGCCGCGUGCAGGAUGAAGGCCUUCGGGUUGUAAACUGCUUUUGUACGGAACGAAACGGCCCCUUCUAAUACAGGGGGCUAAUGACGGUACCGUAAAAAUAAGCACCGGCUAACUACGUGCCAGCCGCCGCCGUAACAC